rnacentral:rRNA from 1 species
CUUGAUUAAUAUAAGAGGUCCAGCCUGCCCAGUGACCUAGUUCAACGGCCGCGGUAUCCUAACCGUGCGAAGGUAGCGUAAUCACUUGUUCUUUAAAUGAGGACUAGUAUGAAUGGCACCACGAGGGUUAAGCUGUCUCCUUUUUCUAAUCAGUGAAACUAAUCUCCCCGUGAAGAAGCGGGGAUUAUACUAUAAGACGAGAAGACCCUAUGGAGCUUAAAACAAAUUAACACUUGCUUCUACCCAUCUUUACUCCUGAACUAACACAUAAAAUAUAGCAUCGUUGAUUAAUAGUUUUCGAUUGGGGUGAUCAUGGAGUAAAAACCAACCUCCACGACGAAAAGGAACACUUCCCUGAGCUAAAAGCUACAACUUUAAGCACUAAAAAAUUAACGCACUUUGACCCAAAUUUUUGAGCAACGAACCAAGUUACCCUAGGGAUAACAGCGCAAUCCAUUUCAAGAGCCCCUAUCGACAAAUGGGUUUACGACCUCGAUGUUGGAUCAGGGUAUCCCAGUGGUGCAGCCGCUACUAAAGGUUCGUUUGUUCAACGAUUAAAACCCU